UCAGAUUGAACGCUGGCGGCAGGCCUAACACAUGCAAGUCGAACGGUAACAGGAAGCAGCUUGCUGUUUCGCUGACGAGUGGCGGACGGGUGAGUAAUGUCUGGGAAACUGCCUGAUGGAGGGGGAUAACUACUGGAAACGGUAGCUAAUACCGCAUAACGUCGCAAGACCAAAGAGGGGGACCUUCGGGCCUCUUGCCAUCGGAUGUGCCCAGAUGGGAUUAGCUAGUAGGUGGGGUAACGGCUCACCUAGGCGACGAUCCCUAGCUGGUCUGAGAGGAUGACCAGCCACACUGGAACUGAGACACGGUCCAGACUCCUACGGGAGGCAGCAGUGGGGAAUAUUGCACAAUGGGCGCAAGCCUGAUGCAGCCAUGCCGCGUGUAUGAAGAAGGCCUUCGGGUUGUAAAGUACUUUCAGCGGGGAGGAA
rnacentral:rRNA from 1 species